rnacentral:rRNA from 1 species
GACGAACGCUGGCGGCGUGCCUAAUACAUGCAAGUUGAGCGAUGAAGAUUGGUGCUUGCACCAAUUUGAAGAGCAGCGAACGGGUGAGUAACGCGUGGGGAAUCUGCCUUUGAGCGGGGGACAACAUUUGGAAACGAAUGCUAAUACCGCAUAACAACUUUAAACAUAAGUUUUAAGUUUGAAAGAUGCAAUUGCAUCACUCAAAGAUGAUCCCGCGUUGUAUUAGCUAGUUGGUGAGGUAAAGGCUCACCAAGGCGAUGAUACAUAGCCGACCUGAGAGGGUGAUCGGCCACAUUGGGACUGAGACACGGCCCAAACUCCUACGGGAGGCAGCAGUAGGGAAUCUUCGGCAAUGGACGAAAGUCUGACCGAGCAACGCCGCGUGAGUGAAGAAGGUUUUCGGAUCGUAAAACUCUGUUGGUAGAGAAGAACGUUGGUGAGAGUGGAAAGCUCAUCAAGUGACGGUAACUACCCAGAAAGGGACGGCCAACUACGUG